ACGCGACAGAGAGCACUCUAACUUCUCGGCACCAGCAGGGUGCCCUAGACCAAGGGUGAUAGCACAAAAACGGUUGCUAAACACAGCGCAGUGGAUAGGCGCGGGGCACUCACCAACUCCGAGAGAUGGUAUUCCACACGUCACUCGGAGGGGGUGAACACCCCCACUUUAAUCUGGCACAGGUUAAGACCAGAUGGUUAUUAAAUGUUUAUCUCUUAUGUAUAUGUAAAUGUUUAUUGACAAUGUUUUUAGAUACUCAACAUUUCUUCUUCUCUCUUAUACUAUCUCUUAAGACAAGUACUAAUCUUCAACUCAACUACCCUGCCUGGAUGCUGCCCGCGCCGCUGGGACUGGGCCCCACAACCGAACACACACACACCGCCCUCCGCAGUUCCCGGAAGACGGGAGACCAUGCAACGCUUAUUGCGCCGACUGCGCCUCCGCAUGGCUCUUAAGGUACUUUCAUUCAAUGUCAAGGGCCUCAACUCGCCCAACAAGCGUCGACUACUGGUAAGAGACCUAAAGACCAAGCAAAUAGACAUAGCACUGAUACAGGAGAC